UCAUACAACCCCAAGAAUAUAAAAUAAAAUAUAAAACCCGUGUCCCUUUUGUUAGGGCUGCAUCCAGCCCUAGUGAGAAGAUUAGCUUUCCAUGGUACGGGGGGUAGCAGCAGCGAUGUAGAGGACUCCCAUCACGGCUAUCUCCUUCCUUUCUCUGUCUUCUUCCUUCACUGGACUCGGUAGGAACUCCCUUAGCAUUUCUUUUUCCGUGGGAAGUCCUUCCCACAAUGCCUCAAACUAUUCUCCCUCUUUUUUACUUCAGUGGGAACUCCUGAGAAGAGAUGAGUUGGAACCGAACCUCCCCCGAUGGGGAAGGAGUAAAAUUGAUAGUCAAUUUUAAAGACCACGCAAUAGCACGUAUCUGGUAGGAUAGUGAUUACGGGUAUCGAU
rnacentral:lncRNA from 1 species